rnacentral:rRNA from 1 species
UACGUAGGGUGCGAGCGUUGUCCGGAAUCAUUGGGCGUAAAGAGCGCGUAGGCGGCCCUGUAAGUCCGCUGUGAAAGUCAAGGGCUCAACCCUUGAAUGCCGGUGGAUACUGCAGGGCUAGAGUCCGGAAGAGGCGAGUGGAAUUCCUGGUGUAGCGGUGAAAUGCGCAGAUAUCAGGAGGAACACCGAUGGCGAAGGCAGCUCGCUGGGACGGUACUGACGCCUGAGGC